UUUUUCUGGGUGCAACCUCAUACCAGGCAGCCCAACCCUGACUUACAGGAAGUUCCCAGGGGAGCUUUUCCCUGGGUUUUAUUUGCAGUAAUAGGUGGGAACAUUCUAGCAGCAGUUUGAUGAUCAUUUAUGAUACUGCAAACAGGA
ensembl:scaRNA